rnacentral:sRNA from 1 species
GGUACAUAUAUGAGUUGCCCUCGGUGCGGUGAGAUGGAAGAGUCGAUUAACCAUCUUCUCUUUCAUUGUCCACCUUCACGCCAGAUUUGGGCGCUAUCGCCUAUUCCCUCUUCAGGGAAUAUUUUCCCUAGAAAUUCCCUCUUUUAUAAUUUCGAUUUUCUUCUUUG